rnacentral:lncRNA from 12 species
UUGGCAUCAGCGCUUCUCAAUGGACUAUCACACUGAAAAUAGAUCUCCUUUUUCCAUGUCUGGGCUGAAGUCUAAAUCAUUCCCAGAGUCUGAGUUUGAUGGAAGUCCUUUAGCAGGAAGAAGGUGCAGAAGAGUUUUGUAACACUGUUUGCAGACCU